GGCGUGCUAUACAUGCAGUCGAGCGGACAGAUGGGAGCUUGCUCCCUGAUGUUAGCGGCGGACGGGUGUGUAACACGUGGGUAACCUGCCUGUAAGACUGGGAUAACUCCGGGAAACCGGGGCUAAUACCGGAUGCUUGUUUGAACCGCAUGGUUCAAACAUAAAAGGUGGCUUCGGCUACCACUUACAGAUGGACCCGCGGCGCAUUAGCUAGUUGGUGAGGUAACGGCUCACCAAGGCAACGAUGCGUAGCCGACCUGAGAGGGUGAUCGGCCACACUGGGACUGAGACACGGCCCAGACUCCUACGGGAGGCAGCAGUAGGGAAUCUUCCGCAAUGGACGAAAGUCUGACGGAGCAACGCCGCGUGAGUGAUGAAGGUUUUCGGAUCCUAAAGCUCUGUU
rnacentral:rRNA from 1 species